GAUAUUUUACUGUAGUUGCGCUCGUGGAAUGAAAGAGACAAGAAUUUACACAAACAAAAUGCAUUUGUUUUCCUCGUUUGCUUUAUGCGUUGAUUUUGUUCACUUCUGUACAACAUCUAAUCGCUGGAAGAGUCUUUUGUGUAAACAUUUAUUAAAAAAGUGGAAAAGAAUUAAUAAAUAAAUCAAAUUAAUAUAAACAGACUCCGUAAGAGUGAAAGGGAAGCUAACAUUGCAAAGUUUGCGUUGUGCAGGAAAGAUAACAGAUAACAGCAAUGAAAUCGAUUCUCCAGCCAGCUGGCGUUUUGAGCGGCUUAAACUUUAUUUUGAGUGAGGAAAUUGUUCUAGCCUAUAACGUAAGGGAAGAAGGCCCUUAGGACCCACAAAGAAUUUUUUGCAGCUUUGCUAGAAUGUAUUCCGCCUGGCGAUGAGCCCCCCGAAAACACUGUGCGGAAGGCAAUGCAAAGGAUGAAGAAAAGGGUGUUUAAGAAGAAGUGUCUUGCCAAAAACCAGGAGUAGGCUAAGCAUCAUAUAAUUAAAAAUUAUUCGUUAUAAUGAAA